GAUUUUUGACAAUGGGGGAAACACUGAUCCAGCCAUCCCGCGCGUAUGAUGAAGGCCUUCGGGUUGUAUAGAACUUUUGGCAGCGAGGAAAAGGUAUCUCCUAAUACGAUAUACUGCUGACGGUAGCUGCAGAACAAGCACCGGCUAACUACGUGCCAGCAGCCGCGGUAAUACGUAGGGUGCAAGCGUUAAUCGGAAUGACUGGGCGUAACGCGUGUGUAGGCGGUUCGGAAAGAAAAGUGUGAAUUCCCAGGGCUCAACCUUGAAACUGCAUUGUUAACGACCGGGCUAGAGUAGGUCGGAGGGGGGUAGAAUUCCACGUGUGGCAGUGAAAUGCGUAGAUAUGUGGAGGAAUACCGAUGGGGAGGGCAGCCCCCUGGGAUGAUACUGACGCUCAGACACGAAAGCGUGGGGAGCAAAC
rnacentral:rRNA from 1 species